GGCUACGUAGUGUAGAGGUUAUCACUCCGGAUUUUGAUCAUAGGUUUGAGAAAUUCCGGCAACCUGAGUUCGAGUCUCAGCGUGGCCU